rnacentral:rRNA from 1 species
GAUGAACGCUAGCGGCAGGCCUAACACAUGCAAGUCGAGGGAGAAGCCCUUUCGGGGGCAGAAACCGGCGCACGGGUGCGUAACGCGUAUGCAACCUACCUUUCACAGGGGGAUAGCCCGAAGAAAUUUGGAUUAAUACCCCAUAAUAUUAUUGGAUGGCAUCAUUUGAUAAUUAAAACUGCGGUGGUGAAAGAUGGGCAUGCGUCCUAUUAGCUAGUUGGAGUGGUAACGGCACCCCAAGGCUACGAUAGGUAGGGGUCCUGAGAGGGAGAACCCCCACACUGGUACUGAGACAGGGACCAGACUCCUACGGGAGGCAGCAGUGAGGAAUAUUGGUCAAUGGUCGGAAGACUGAACCAGCCAUGCCGCGUGCAGGAAGAAUGCCUUAUGGGUUGUAAACUGCUUUUAUAUGGGAAGAAUAAGGCGUACGUGUACGUUGAUGACGGUACCAUAUGAAUAAGCAUCGGCUAACUCCGUG